CCCUUAGAUGUUCUGGGCCGCACGCGUGCUACACUGAGUGGAUCAGCGGGUCAGGUUGCGCGAAAGUGUUUCCUAAUCUUUAAAUCCGCUCGUGAUGGGGAUUGACGGUUGCAAUUUUCCGUCAUGAACGGGGAAUACCUUGUAAGCGCGGGUCAUCAUCCCGCGCUGAAUACGUCCCUGCCCUUUGUACACACCGCCCGUCGCUCCUACCGAUUGAGUGGUCCGGUGAGGCUUUGGGAUCUGAGCGGAAAGAGCGUUUCGCUGUUUCUGCUCGGAAAACUCAGUCGAACCUUAUCAUUUAGAGGAAGGAGAAGUCGUAACA
rnacentral:rRNA from 1 species